rnacentral:rRNA from 1 species
GACGUAGGGCGCGAGCGUUGUCCGGAUUUAUUGGGCGUAAAGAGCUCGUAGGCGGCUUGUCGCGUCGACUGUGAAAACCCACGGCUCAACUGUGGGCUUGCAGUCGAUACGGGCAGGCUAGAGUUCGGUAGGGGGAGACUGGAAUUCCUGGUGUAGCGGUGAAAUGCGCAGAUAUCAGGAGGAACACCGGUGGCGAAGGCGGGUCUCUGGGCCGAUACUGACGCUGAGGAGCGAAAGCGUGGGGAGCGAACAGG